AUUAACUUUAAUACCAUCAAUUUGCAGUAUUACUUGUGGUAAGACUUGCCAAUCAGUUGGAACAAAAUGCAUGAUGAAGGAUGGGACUCGUUCUGGGCACCCCUAAUAGUAAUUGUUCCCCCGUGGGGACGGGUACUCAUGCUGAGACCAC